AGGUGGUGCAUGGUUGUCGUCAGCUCGUGUCGUGAGAUGUUGGGUUAAGUCCCGCAACGAGCGCAACCCCUAUUGUUAGUUGCCAUCAUUCAGUUGGGCACUCUAGCGAGACUGCCGGUAAUAAACCGGAGGAAGGUGGGAUGACGUCAAAUCAUCAUGCCCCUUAUGACCUGGGCUACACACGUGCUACAAUGGUUGGUACAACGAGUUGCGAGUCGGUGACGGCGAGCUAAUCUCUUAAAGCCAAUCUCAGUUCGGAUUGUAGGCUGCAACUCGCCUACAUGAAGUCGGAAUCGCUAGUAAUCGCGGAUCAGCACGCCGCGGUGAAUACGUUCCCGGGCCUU
rnacentral:rRNA from 1 species